AUAUGUCUUGGUAUUGGGUAUAGAACCUUUUUGUUCUAUGUGUAGUCUUUUCAUACCACGGCUUUGUUUAAAUUGUGUGCGACGUGCUUCGCUUCGUUCGAAUUGUGUUCCCCUUGCGGCUCUGCGUGAAUUGCUUAGUAUGCAAUUCUUAAGUCGUUUUGGUCGCUACUCCUGGAGUACCACUUUCAUAGUGAGUGUUGCAUGAUGGGCUUUGCUCCGAUGAGUAUGUGUCAAAUUUGUAAUUUUAUUGCUAAUAUUUUAUUAUCUUUUCUAGUGGAAUUCCCCUAUUAUUAUUAUUUAUAAACCCGUCGGGGCUCUAGACGAACUAAACAACACCAAUAGUCUUGCAAUUUCUUCUAUCUGUUCUCAAAUUAUGCAUUUGUGAAGAAACAUUUCCCUUUAAUAUAUAAAGAUAAUUAUAUUAUUUUUUUUUUUUUUUUCUUUCCCUCUAAGCGUAGUUCCUAAUUAUGCCUUGACCACUCUUUAUUGCCGUUUGUGUUUCAACCGUGAAAAUUAAUUUUGGACUUUUAUUUUUUCAUUACUGGCUCAAUGUGCCAUUUGUUUGACGGUCAAGGUCUCGCGUAGCUACUAAGCUUUGCAAUUAUUGACGUAGGUCAUGAUGAAGCUUUAGUUUUCUUCUUCCCACUUUUGUUCGCAAUAAUCGCAUACUCAUAUGCGUUCCGCGAUUAUUGCUGUAUCGGAGACGUGAUUAAUCCUAUACAAUUUGGCGAUGCCUGUCAUCAGUGGAUUAAUAUUUGUGUCAUCAUCUAUCUUGUCAUCUUGUCACUUGUCAUCUUUUGUGAUAUUUAGCUGUAAAAGUUAAAUUCAUGUAAUGAUGUGAAAUAACAAAAAUUUGAUCAUGUAUUAGUAAACUAAAAGAGAGAGAGAAAAAAAAAACGUUCCUGUUUCGAACCUUAGAUCCUCUGAUCUUUGGUUUCGCUGUUUACUUUGAGUCCAGUUGUGAGGAACUCGAAUGAAAAGGUAUUUUAUUGAUGUUAUUUUAUGUGAUCAACUCACGUGUUUGACCCACUGUGAGUUGAUAUAUUUUUAGGUUUCCAUUCCAAUUGGAAAAUUUUCGAUGGACUUGAUUCACUGGUAUGUGUGAAACCGUGUCAAUCGACUAAUAAAAAUGCAAUUAUGCAUUAUUGAUUGUCGUCAUUCUUAAUUUGUUUCGGUAUGGGCAGUACGGGUCGGUACCCCUGGUUUUUUAGUUUGAUUUGUUCAUUAAAUUAAAAAAAAUUCUGAGGUUAUCUUAGUGGCGUGUGACUAGCCACGGAUUAGAAUGUAGUGUCGUAGUAGUGGAAUAUUCUGUGCCAGAAAGUGGAAUAUUCUGUGCCAGAAUAGUGUGGUGAACAGUCCGCUAUGGCGGUGAGGUUGGAUGGGUUGAAUCCUGUUGCUGGUUCCAGUGCCCUGUGAGCUGCUCCCUGUCCGUGGGAUCUAUUGCGAUUGGAUUUCGAAAACUUGAAUUCGCGUAACACUGGUCAACAGUCGAUCUCGGAUUGUUAUUAUUGUUCCUCUAACACUUUCACUGUUUCUUCUUCUAAUCCUUUUUAUUUGUUCUUUUAGGUUUCGACCAUCUUCGAGGAGGAGCCCUUAGAAAUAUUGGACUUGCACGUUUCGUGGCAUUCACUUUCGUUGAUUUGGGUCUGUUUUUCCGAUACGUCAAAGUCACUUAAGCAC